rnacentral:tRNA from 1 species
AGAGCAACUGGCUUUCGAAAGAACGUAAGAAGCUUGCUUGUCCUCCGUCCGACAUAGUAUAGUGGCUAGUAUCCCCGCCUGUCACGCGGGAGACCGGGGUUCGAUUCCCCGUGUCGGAG